rnacentral:rRNA from 1 species
GACGAACGCUGGCGGCGUGCUUAACACAUGCAAGUCGAACGGAAAGGCCCUGCUUUUGUGGGGUGCUCGAGUGGCGAACGGGUGAGUAAAACGUGAGUAACCUGCCCUUGACUUUGGGAUAACUUCAGGAAACUGGGGCUAUUACCGGAUAGGAGCUCCUGCUGCAUGGUGGGGGUUGGAAAGUUUCGGCGGUUGGGGAUGGACUCGAGGCUUAUCAGCUUGUUGGUGGGGUAGUGGCUUACAAAGGCUUUGACGGGUAGCCGGCCUGGGAGGGUGACCGGCCACAUUGGUACUGAGAUACGGCCCAGACUCCUACGGGAGGCAGCAGUGGGGAAUAUUGCACAAUGGGCGGAAGCCUGAUGCAGCAACGCCGCGUGCGUGAUGACGGCCUUCGGGUUGUAAACCGCUUUCGCCUGUGACGAAGCGUGAGUGACGGUAAUGGGUAAAGAAGCACCGGCUAACUACGUG